rnacentral:lncRNA from 1 species
GUUGAAUUGAACUGCGUGUGCCUCCUCCAGGGUCAGGGGAGAGCUUGGCUCACCUGCAGAGACAAGCACCACCGCGGUGAAUAGGCCCAGCUCCUCCUCGGUAAGUGCCAGGGAGUUGAGCUUCUCGCUGAAGUCAAACAUGGCAUUGAGCAGGUCGCCCAUGCCCAUGGCACCGAGCUCCUGCAGACUGUAGGUUGUGCGGCUCAGGAACAUCACUGUCUGGUCCUUCACGUUGAACAACGAUGCAAAGCGCACCAUCAGCACCUGAAGGGAGGGUGGACAUUUUUUGAGUGAGAUGGGAGGGGCAUUUUGCCAAAUGACCCCUAGAGCCUGCUAAUAACUUUGAGGGGUGUUUCCUUAGAUUGUCAGUAAGGGGGUCAGUCUCUGAUUGGUCAAUGAGGGAUGCAGGUGGGAGUGCCCGCCACUUCUGGAAUGUAAUUUAACCGAAGGUCACCAGCUCCGGCCUAGAGUAGAGGAGAGUUGUCUCUUUGGUUACUCUGAUGCACUGAGUUUGGAGGCAACACCAGCCUAGAGGAUAGACUUCCCACAGACCCUGAGGUGCCGAGCUAGCGGUGUUACAAGUUCUAUCUCCUCAGACAGAGAGAUAACACAGGGCCAAAGACUCUGGGAAGCCCUUCCCACUCCAGUCACCACACUACUGGGGCCCUCCCACAGUCAAGAGCAGGGAACAUAAAAGUACCGCUCACCUCAAAGGUGCCAGCCUUAAGCAGGGUCACCUGGUCGUGCUGAGAAAGGUCACGGAAGCCUGGGAUGUGUUUGGCAAACUCUACCACCUCCCGAACGGCAGGCGUGAAGCUCAUAGAGAAGUCUUCCCAGAUCUCCUGCACAGUCCGGCCGCUGCGUCCAUGGGGAUACAUGUUCAUGGGACAUGCCUAAGAGGAGAAUGGAGUAAGGAGGGACAUGUUAGCUGGGUGGGCUCCCCAACAGGACUGGUUCCAAGUACUGUCUGGGCUAAGAGCUGUGGCCCUUGAGAAGGGGUCUCUCACCUAAAUCGGUAAUCAGGUGCCGAAUGGUGAUUAAGGAUUCCCAGGUAAAACCCAGAUUUUGGGGUAGAAUGUCCUUUCCUGGACAGAAGUCCCCACCCCCAGCCUCUAGGAACACUGGCUGUCUUUCUCUAGUCCCAAUCUUCCAAGGCCCCCUCGCUCUCUCCACACUGGCUCCAUGCCCUCACCAGCAGAACAUUCUUGGUGUUGCCUUGCCGUAGACUGUUGGCAGGUGCCUCCCCUUCUGGGGCCGAAUAUACGUGGGUGGGGCACAGACGGUGCCCAUUGCUGUUAGGUUGGUGGCAGCUGUGGUGGGUGGGGCCAGAAGGCCAGGUAGGCGGGUAGGAGGAAGGGCCCUGGCGUAGACCAUUCAGCGCUUCAUUAUGACGCUGAGCCGCCAAAAGGUUGUUGUCGUUGGGGGCAGACGGGCAUCCCUGACUCUCCCAGCGGUGUGGAGUUGUAGCUGAAGGGCUACCUGAUGCAUGAUUGGCAUUGAAGUUACCAGGUGAGGUGCCUAACUUGUCAUGGGCAUAGGUGAAGAUUUCUCGAUGGGCCCGGGCGACCUGGGAUAUCACAUCCUCCAUGGUGGGCUCAGGGCUGGGAGACCUGGGUGGUGUCAGCUGUUGUGGGAACUGAGAGAAGCCCACCAAAGGUGUGGGGGCUGGUGCAGGAGGAGGUGAGGGGCCCAUGGAGCCAGAGGUGGGAUGUGGAGUAGGUGAGGUCUCUAGAGGGCACAGGCUGCUCAGUUGGUUGUUGGCCAAGUUCAUGGCGCUCUGCAUCUCGGCAAGCAUCCGUUGCUUCUCUCUCUUGGGGAUGCGCCCAAAACGCACAGCUGCAACAGGGCGAGAACCGUGUCAGGAAGUCCUGACAUACUCACAUGCGUCUCUUCCUUCCUUCCGCCCGAAAGGGCAAGCAAGACCCUAAAAGCCUGGGGGGUUCCACAUCAAAACUGAAACCAGCAAAGCCACACCCAUUCAGGGGGUGUGAGAGGAGAUGACCAGGGGGUGGGGGUGGGGGGGGAUAUGAAUGGUAGAAGAGUGUGUGUUUGCCCAAGAGGUUAGCACCUGGGUAUCCUCCAUGUAAACAACACUCACAGUACCAUCCUUCUCAACUUGAGGCUCUUUCUUAAACGGAGGGAUUAAGGCAGAAGCCGGGUGGAAGAAAAUGGGGCGAGAAGGAGAUAUGGGAAUACUGCCUUACCAUCUCUAGACAUGCCAACGGAGAGACACUUCUUGAAGCGACACUGCUGGCAGCGGUUGCGAUUGAUGCGAACGAUGGAGCAGUUUUCGUUUUUCAGACACCGUUUGUACUGGAUAUUCUGUUGGAUGCUCCGGCGAAAAAAGCCCUGGAAGGCAGGGGCGACGCAUGAAUGUCUUCAUCUAAGCCGAGCCUGUGCAUGCAUCCCCUGCCCAGGUCCUCAACCCUAACCCGCCUCACCUUGCAGCCCUCACAGGCGUGCACUCCAUAGUGGAAGCCUGAGGCCACGUCCCCACACACCUUACACAGUAGCACCAUGCCAUUCAGCUCUGUGGGAAGAGACAGGCAGAGGGUAAUACGGACUCCUUCUGGGCUCAAGGUUCUAGGAGGGGAAAGCUGAGGGGCUCUCACGUCUAGGUGACUGGACUGGACUGGAUAGGAGCUGGCACAAACUCUUAAGAGAAAUUCCAAAGGCCAGAGCACAGACCCCCAUCCCCUCCCACCUCCCCAAGAGUAACUCUCAGAUGGAAACCAACUCUAUCAACUACGUCUGGGCUCACUUCCUUUCCCCCUACAUCAGCUGGGCAUUGACUUACUGGUAAUGUUGCUUGUGCCCUUGCUGGGGGACACUCGGCUGCUGUCUUCCAUGGCCACUUGUAGACUUCCUGGGGGGCUCCCGUUAUAGAAGGAGGAGGAGGAUGAAGAGGAUGACGAUGAUGCAGAAGAAGGGGAGCUAUCAUCACUGAGACUGGGUGGCGCACUGCCAAAAGAGCGGGCAGGGUCCUGGGUGAGGGAGCCAGUAGGUGAUGGUGGGAAGUAUGUGGGACAACCUUGAGUCAGGGACUGGAAGCUGCCAUUGGAGCUGUCACUGUAGAGGGACUCCGGGCUGGUCCGGCUCGGGGAGGAGCCACUAGAGCCAAUGUAGGUGAUAACACCACCUAAAUAAGAGAACACAAGGGGAGGGUAUCAGCCAUCAAGUCUGUCAUUCACACAGUCAUCAUCAGAACAUUAGACCCCCUAACCUUGGAGUAAGAAGCAAUUCUCCCACACAGACUAAAUAUAGCACGGCCGGUCAACCUAGUCGUUAUUAGAAACUCUCCAUCACAUGCUACUUAUGAUAACCAAGUCCGGCCCCAAAAUACCCAUGGCCAUUGCUUUGCACAAUACAUUAAGCUUCUGGUUUGGGUGGGAGGUGUAACUCCAGUGGCCAUCUCAUACAUGGGAACCCCUGAGCUAGCUGCUUCCUGGGGAGUACUGACAGCAGCUAGGGUCUUAGUUACAAGGGGGGUAGACUUGGGAAGGAGAUGGACAGCUGACAGUUAUUCAUACACACACACACAAAAAAAACUAGCCACUAGUUCUACACUGAGACCUUUCCAGUGAUGGACCCUGCAGCGUGAUGGGUAGCUAGCCUAGUGCGAGGAAAAUGGAGGUGUACAAACGUAAAACGGUCACACCUUGCUUUCAAACCCAAAGACAUAUUCUCAUAGAGUACUGCAGGGAAGGACUCUCUGUUCAGCCUGGCUCUGGCCUCUGAGAGAUGAGUCACAAGAGACUUAGAAAUGUGACAGAUAAGACUCAGAUGAGUUGCAGGAGAUGAAAGGGAGAAACAAAGUAUCCAUUCUAGGGAUUUAGGAAUUCCCCUUCCUUCUCAGCCCGGUGGUAACUUUAGCUCUAUAGCCACUCAGCCAGCGGCUCUGUCCCUCUGGUUACAUUGCGGGCCAGGUGAUUCGGCUCCUGUGGUAUGCACAGAAGAGAAGGGCCACUUGUCUGCCACACCUCUGCCAAGUACUUAGCCUGGCCGGCCAUGGGUGGAGUGGGGAAAGGGGAGGAUCCUCAGACACGUGUGUGAGGUGACACAUGCCAUGCCACCGAGUCGACAGAAGCACAUGUCUUGCUCACCCACUGACACACACUAAACCAGGCAGGGCAACCUUAAAAUAGCUCAAGGUUGGUCAGGGUGAACCCUGCCUGUAAAAUAAGUCACAGAAUGGUUACCCGGCUAUGGUUUCACGGCUGGGUUGGAGGAUGGGUUAUUUAUGUGGACCUAAAUGAACUUGACCUAGUUAAUCCUGAAAGAGGGCAUGAGAAAGUCACUAAAAAAAAAAGUCUUCCAACUUUGAAGUGAUGGGCAAUGCUCAAAAGACCCUAGCUCUCCAUCUAGAUGUGUAUUGCUACCGAUUAGCUUUCCAAUAUAGAGGAAAUC